rnacentral:rRNA from 1 species
GGACUACCAGGGUUUCUAAUCCUGUUUGAUACCCAUGCUUUUGCAUCUCAGCGUCAGUUAUAAUAUAGUUAGUCGUUUUCACCUAUUGAUUGUCUCUACAAUAUUUACGUAUUUUACCUCUCCACUGAAAGUGCAACACACUUCUAUUAUACUCUUAGUUUAUGCGUCUAAAAAUAAUUAUAUAGAGUUGUACUCUAGACUUUUAUUUUUACAUCAUAAACAGCCUACAUGCCCUUUACGCCCAGUAUUUAUGAGUAACACUCAUCCCCUCCGUUUUACCGCGGCUGCUGGCAC